GCAGUAGUAGCUUAGUGGCACAGCGCUUGCCUGGCAUGCAGGAGGUCCUGGGUUCAAUCUCCAGCGCCGCU
rnacentral:tRNA from 1 species